rnacentral:rRNA from 1 species
UACGUAGGGUGCAGGCGUUGUCCGGAAUUAUUGGGCGUAAAGGGCGCGUAGGCGGCCUUGUAAGUCAAAGGUGAAAUCCCUCGGCUCAACUGAGGAACUGCCUUUGAAACUGCAAGCUUGAGGCCGGGAGGGGGUAGCGGAAUUCCCAAUGUAGCGGUGAAAUGCGUAGAUAUUGGGAGGAACACCAGUGGCGAAGGCGGCUACCUGGACCGGUUCUGACGCUGAGGCGCGAAAGCGUGGGUAGCAAACAGG